rnacentral:rRNA from 1 species
UACGAAGGGGGCGAGCGUUGUUCGGAAUUACUGGGCGUAAAGGGCGCGCAGGCGGCUCUGAAAGUCAGAUGUGAAAGCCCCGGGCUUAACCUGGGAAUUGCAUUUGAUACUCUGGAGCUUGAGUACGGGAGAGGAGAGUGGAAUUCCCAGUGUAGAGGUGAAAUUCGUAGAUAUUGGGAAGAACACCGGUGGCGAAGGCGGCUCUCUGGACCGUGACUGACGCUGAGGCGCGAAAGCGUGGGGAGCAAACAGG